CGCAUCUGUGCAUGCAGCAUAUCAAUAAGCGGAGGAAAAGAAACUAACAAGGAUUCCCCUAGUAACGGCGAGUGAAGCGGGAAGAGCUCAAAUUUGAAAUCUUAAAGGGUUUCCCUUUACGAAUUGUAGUUUAAAGAAGUGUUUUCUGUUGAGGUUUUGGUAAAAGUUCUUUGGAAUAGGACAUCAUAGAGGGUGAGAAUCCCGUAUUUGACCUUUACUUUCAACUUUGUGAUACACUUUCAAAGAGUCGGAUUGUUUGGGAAUGCAGUCCAAAAUGGGUGGUAAAUUUCAUCUAAAGCUAAAUAUUGGCGAGAGACCGAUAGCGAACAAGUACCGUGAGGGAAAGAUGAAAAGAACUUUGAAAAGAGAGUUAAACAGUACGUGAAAUUGUCAAAAGGGAAGCGUUUGACACCAGUGUUGUUUUUCUGAAAAUCAAUUAAAGAACUGUUUAUGCUAAGUUGUUUAGACUUUAUCAGCUAACUGUUUAGUUUUGAGCUUUUCUUUAAUGCACUUUUCAGUUAACAAGUCAACAUCAAUUUCUUUUGCUGUAAAAAAGCUUGAGGAAGGUGGCUUGAGAUUCGUCUUAAGUGUUUAUAGCCUCUUGCCUAUGCAGUCGGAGAGAUUGAGGUCUGCAGCGUAGAUCCUUCGGGGCUAAAUGCAUUUGUGCUAAGUUAUAGCAUUUCAUAGACAACUUGUUGACUAUGAUUUGUCCUGUAGCUUACUCGCUUAUGUUAUUUUACCUACGCUUAGGAUGUUGACAGCAGUAUAGACUGU
rnacentral:rRNA from 1 species